rnacentral:rRNA from 1 species
UACAGAGGGUGCGAGCGUUGUUCGGAAUUAUUGGGCGUAAAGGGCGCGUAGGCGGCUUGAUGUGUCAAAGGUGAAAUCCCUCGGCUCAACUGAGGAACUGCCUUUGAAACUGUCUGGCUUGAGGCCGGGAGAGGGUAGCGGAAUUCCCAGUGUAGCGGUGAAAUGCGUAGAUACUGGGAGGAACACCGGUGGCGAAGGCGGCUACCUGGACCGGUUCUGACGCUGAUGCGCGAAAGCGUGGGUAGCAAACAGG